rnacentral:rRNA from 1 species
CCUACGGGCGGCUGCAGUGGGGAAUAUUGGACAAUGGGCGAAAGCCUGAUCCAGCCAUGCCGCGUGUGUGAAGAAGGCCUUCGGGUUGUAAAGCACUUUCAGUGGGGAAGAAAGCCUUGGGGCUAAUACCCUCGACGAAGGACAGCACCCACAGAAGAAGCACCGGCGAACUCCGUGCCCGCAGCCGCGGUAAUACGGAGGGUGCGAGCGUUAAUCGGAAUUACUGGGCGUAAAGCGCGCGUAGGCGGUCUGAUAAGCCGGUUGUGAAAGCCCCGGGCUCAACCUGGGAACGGCAUCCGGAACUGUCAGGCUAGAGUGCAGGAGAGGAAGGUAGAAUUCCCGGUGUAGCGGUGAAAUGCGUAGAGAUCGGGAGGAAUACCAGUGGCGAAGGCGGCCUUCUGGACUGACACUGACGCUGAGGUGCGAAAGCGUGGGUAGCAAACAGGAUUAGAUACCCUGGUAGUC